rnacentral:ncRNA from 1 species
GCAAAAGCGUUGAGAAAAGAAUAACUCAGUGGGUCAAUGGUUUAAAGCGAACAGAUGCUGGUGGAAGAUCUGUAAUCAAACUCUAUGAAUGGCACUUUUUGAGCUGCGAUACCAUUAUAUCCUUGGGUGAUUGACUGGUGUUGCCGUGAAAUUCGUUAAAUUUUUAAGGUGGUUUGUCAAUGUCGGCAGACAACUUGGGUGGAACCGCGGUUAUACCGUCCCUUGU